GUCGGGGUCACCAGAUGUCGCUAUUGGACACCAAAUACAGAGGCAUGACUCCAAAGGCAGAAGACGCUCAGAAGGCUUUAUUGUCUACUUUUUAGUACCUUUUAUACGGUGUUGAGACACAGACUUAACAUGAUUGGUAAAAGAGAAGGACACCUCUCUAGUCCCAUUGGUGGAACAAGAGAAACAUAGUCAGCACAGCUGUACAGAUUUGUUUUGAGAAACAUAAGUUAUUUACAGAAAUUGCCCUUGAAAGAAAGACUCUCCCAAGAAAUCUUCCCUUGUGAAAGAAAUCAGCCACUGGCAGGCUGAAAACCUUUUCAGACUCAGGAAUGUCAGGCUCACAGUUUCCCUCAGUGGAAAAUGACAGGCUCUCUGCAGGGACAACCCCAGGGUCCAGUGUCCUGGACAUGGGCAAGCCCCAGCCCUGCUCCAGCAGAGACAGCGACAUAAAGAGUUGAUGAAAAUGAAAGGGAGACUCAGUGAUUGGGCAAUUUCCCAUAAAUUACCCAUCCUGACCUUCCCUGUUGGGAUCUUUCCUGCAACACCUUGACCCUCAGAGCACAGUACACACAGGACAGGUGAGUGGUGUGGGGUUGCUGUGUCCCCACGGUGGGUGUUUGAGGACACCCGCUGCACCGUGGUAGAGAGAGAGAGAGGUAAGAUUGAACUGAGUUACAGGCUGUGGGAUGGACCUGCACAAUGCCAUGGCAGCACCAAGAAGCUUAUCUCCCCUGACCUUGGGACAAAGUGCCACUUGGUGGAUGCCCUAAGGAGAGAAGCCUGUCGGAAUCUGCCAGGCACUGCAAUGUGCUCAGCCCACGGAAGGACGUUCAGAAGGCGUGUUGCUGAUGUGGCAAUGUGUGAUAAGUCACUUAGUGAAAAAAAAAGUAAGGAAAUACGAGGUCUUGAAGAAGGCUAUAAAAACAGCUCUUUUCAAUACAUAUUUCACUAUCUCUGCUGGUCUGAGUCCAUGCACUGGUGGAACGGCCAGGUGGGCCUGGGCCGAGCAGGAGCCUGGGCUGGGGCUGAAGGGUCUCUGCUUUUAUGGGGUGGCUGGGGUCUCCUGGGUGUGGCUGGGGGCAAUCGUGCAGGGCAGCAGAGCCCCGCUGACCCCACCUGCCACUCACAGAAAAAAUCUUGUUCUUGCUUCCCAAGGAACCAGUUUUAGAGCAGACUCAUCGCAGCUCUCGCUCCCACCCAGCCGACCAUGGAUUGCAAAGCCAUCGGUAUUGCAUUUGCUGUUGGAAUUGUCAUUGGAGCUGCAAUUGUAGGUGAGAGUCUGGCACAGGAUACGCAGUGCUUGGCUUUGCUUGGGGAACUGCAGAGAGGGAAGGGACAGCACUGGGCACUGCCUGGAAUUCUGCCUGCCCCCACUGCUGCAGCCCUGCACACUGCUCCUCUCCUGCUGCCCAUGGGGUGUUCCCAGCCCUGCACCCCCAGCCCUCACUCCCUGCUCUGGUUGCUGGGUACUUUUGGGGAGGCUGAUGCAGGUGCUGGUGGGAGGUGGAGGUGUGGGUCACAGAGAGCACCCUAACACUGCUCUGUCCUCCCUGCAGCACUGGCAAAGGGUGAGACCAUCGACUUUUCUAGGAAUUUCAAGUAUUUUGGCUUCAGUUUCAGAAUCGGUGAGUGAGGGGGGAUAAGCAGAUGGGCUGUGCUGGGAGGGAAUACAGGGCUGUUCCCUGAGCUUCUUGUAGAGCUAAAUCAUCCCUUGAACCCCUCACUGACCUGAAUCCAACUGAAAUCUGGUGAAGGGAUAAAUCU
ensembl:lncRNA